rnacentral:rRNA from 1 species
CCUACGGGGGGCUGCAGUGAGGAAUAUUGGUCAAUGGGCGGAAGCCUGAACCAGCCAAGUAGCGUGCAGGAUGACGGCCCUACGGGUUGUAAACUGCUUUUAUACGGGAAUAACGCGCCUUACGUGUAGGGCUUUGCAUGUAUCGUAUGAAUAAGGACCGGCUAAUUCCGUGCCAGCAGCCGCGGUAAUACGGAAGGUCCGGGCGUUAUCCGGAUUUAUUGGGUUUAAAGGGAGCGUAGGCCGCAUGUCAAGCGUGCUGUGAAAUGUCCGGGCUCAACCCGGGCCUUGCAGCGCGAACUGGCGUGCUUGAGUCCGCGGAGGGCAGGCGGAAUUCGUCGUGUAGCGGUGAAAUGCUUAGAUAUGACGAAGAACCCCGAUUGCGAAGGCAGGUUGCUGCAGCGGAACUGACGCUGAUGCUCGAAAGCGCGGGUAUCGAACAGGAUCAGAUACCCCGGUAGUC